GUGGACAGUGAGAGAGAGAGACAGAAAGGUCUUCCUUUGCCGUUGGUUCACCCUCCAAUGGCCGCCGUGGCCGGCGCGCUGCAGCCGGCGCACUGCGCUGAUCCGAUGGCAGGAGCCAGGUGCUUCUCCUGGUCUCCCAUGGGGUGCAGGGCCCAAGCACUUGGGCCAUCCUCCACUGCACUCCCUGGCCACAGCAGAGAGCUGGCCUGGAAGAGGGGCAACCGGGAAAGAAUCCAGCGCCCCGACCGGGACUAGAACCCGGUGUGCCGGCGCCGCUAGGCGGAGGAUUAGCCUAGUGAGCCGCGGCGCCGGCUGCUUCUAUGGUUUUGGAAGUCGCGGUCAUUUCCUUCCACUGACUGGUGGCCAGGGGCUGGGCUGACACUGCUGUGAGUGACGUCACCUGCUGGAUUGUGAGGUUGUCUCGCUCCCCAGUUCUGCCUUCCCUGGUUCUGUCUCGCUAUAUGCUGUGGCUGGUACAAAAUGUAUCCUAGGGCAUUUUGCUUACUCUGUUAUAACAAACAUCACUUCUUUUAUUAAAGAAAAACUGAGCAGUUUAAGUCCAGUUUUGGGGAUGUUUGACUUGUUAGGGAAGCUGAAGUCCCUGUGGUGGUUAGGAGUCCAGUUUCCUUUGGCGUGGUGGGGUGGAGCCACUGCAGGCCUCGGUGUGAUAGCCGAGCCGGCCUACCAGAGAUCGAUCCCUGCGAUGUGAGCUUGGAGCUGGUCCCCUUGGACAGGUCGACAGCGUGGCCUGCAGUGGGCGGCAGGAGGUGAUGCGCGUGCAGGCCUGGCCCACUUUGCCCACUGCCACGGCGCUGCACUUGUGGUGUUUGGUUGUUUUGUUUCCUUGUGUUUUCAAUCAUUUUUCCUCCUGCAGUGCCUUAGGUUAGCGUUUUUUAGCCUUCUCUAGGGGCCAAAGAUAAUGAAGCCCGCAAGGCUAGAGAUGCGGCCCACAGCAACCCUCACUCACUUGGAACUGCUUCUCGGUGUCAGGACGUGUUCGGGCUCGGGUUCUUCAUGUUAAAGUCAGAAGAAGAGAAUGUGACAGUCGCUAACAGUAGGACGAAGUGGCAGAAGAGACCGUUGCAAGUUAGAGCGACACAAUAAUGAGCCUUGUAGGCGAUGUCCCGGCCGCGAUCCGUGCUUGCUGGGACGGAGGCUGCAGCGCAGGGAAGCAGGCCGACCUCCGGGCGCUGUCGGCUGGGUGCAGGGGUUUUCACUUGAGCUUUCAUGGCCACGAGAAACGGAUUUAAGCAAAGGUUAUCUUUUAAAAAUCACCCGCCAAGUCUCGCUACUUUCCUCAUUUUGGAAUGUUAUGGCUUUUAAAAGUCUUCGUAGUAAACACAGAUGUAAACAGUGUACUGCUGUUACUGUAUCAGUGUCAUCUUUUCUCACUUCAGUGCCAAACCAAGUCUUUUUCUCCUACUUUCUAUUCUUUUUUUUCUUUUUUCUUUCUUUUUUCUUUUUCUUUUUUUUUUUUUUUUUGACAGGCAAAGUUAGACAGUGAGAGAGAGACAGAGAGAAAGGUCUUCCUUCCGUUGGUUCACUCCCCAAAUGAUUGCUACAGUCAGUGCUGCACCGAUCCAAAGCCAGGAGCCAGGUGCUUCUUCCUGGUCUCCCAUGGGGUGCAGGGCCCAAGCACUUGGGCCAUCCUCCACUGCCUUCCCGGGCCACAGCAGAGAGCUGGACUGGAAGAGGAGCAACUGGGACAGAAUCCGGUGCCCCAAGUGGGACUAAAACUGAAGUACCGGAGCUGCAGGUGGAGGUUUUUUUUUUUUUUUAAAGAUAUAUUUGUUCAUCUGAAAGGCAAAGUUACAAACAUAGAGACAGUAAGAGAAAGAGAUCUUCCUUUGCUGGUUCAUUCCCCAGAUGGCCUCAACAGCCUGAGAUGAGCCAGGCCAAAGCGUGGAACCAGGAGCUUCACUCAGGUCUCCCACGUGGGUGGCAGGGGCCCAGGCAUUGGACCAUCCUCUGCUUUUCCCAGGCCAUUUACAGGAAACUGGAUCAGAAGUGAAGCAGCCUAGAGACCCACAGGGGAUGCCAGGGUCGCAGAUGGCAGCUCUAAGAGCUACACCACAGUGUUGGCACCUCUUUCUCCUGCUUUUCCCAGAUCUGGUAUUGGGUUUUAGCUCCCUUUUGCCCUUUUUUUUUUUUUAAAGGUUUAUUUAUUUAUUUGAAAGUCAGAGUCGCACAGAGGAGGAGAGGCAGAGAGAGAGAGAGAGGUCUUUCAUCCGAUGGUUCACUCCCCAGUUGGCCACAAUGGCCGGAGCCACACUGAUCCGAAGCCAGGAGCCAGGAGCUUCUUCCGGGUCUCCCACACGGGUGCAGGGUCCCAAGGACUUGGGCCAUCUUCCACUGCUUUCCCAGGCCAUAGCAGAGAGCUGGAUCUGAAGUGGAGCAGCUAGGUCUUGAACUGGCACCCAUAUGUGAUGCCAGCACCUCAGGCCAGGGCAUUAACCUGUUGUGCCACAGCACCAGCCCCCCCCUCACCCUUUUGAGAAGGCUUCCUUUCCUUUCUAAGGCAGAGUGACAGAGAAAGGAGGAGAGAGAGUGACAGAGAAAUCUUCCAUCUGUUGGUUCACUCCCCAAAUGUUGGCAAAUGCUGGCACUGGACAAGGCUGAGCCAGGAACCAGGAACUCUGUCCGGGUCUCACGUGGAUGGCAGGAACCUGAAUACUUGGGCUCUCACCUGUUGCCUCCUGGGCACGUUAAACAAGCAGCUGGGUCAGAAAUGGAAGAACCAGUACCUGAUGAGGGCGUCAGAUGCAUGAGUGCAGCCUGCUGUGCCACAUGCCCACGCUUCUCUUUUAUUUUCGUGGGUCACCUCAUCAGUGCCUUGUCACUCGGGGAGCGAUGAGGACCGUGCCAGUGCAGAGGUGACACCUGCAUGACAGCAGUCUCACUGUAGUUGGCUCCCUUGGCACUGUGGCCCUUCACCUCUGUAGUUGUGAGGACCCUCUGCACAGAGAGAUGUAGGGGUCAUGGGUCACAGUCACAGAGCACUUGGGAAGGAGGGUGCGUGUGUGUGUGUGUGUGUGUGUCCAGACUCCAGAGCUCUAUCUGUGGUUUUUAGAUACGGUUUUCCCCCAAAAUCACAUUCCUAGGGCAUACACCAACCCAUGACUUUCAUAUUUGUUAUGAAAGGUUACAGAGAGGCAGAGGCAGAGAGAUAGACAGAGACAGAGAGAAAGAGAGAUAGAGAGAGGAGAGAGGUCUUCCAUCCACUGCUGGUUCACUCCCCAGAUGCCCACAAUGGUUGGAGCUGCACCAAUCUGAAGCCAGGAGCCAGGAGCUUCUGGGUCUCCCACGUGGGUGCAGGGUCCCAAGGACUUGGGCCAUCUUCCACUGCUUUCCCAGACCACAGCAGAGAGCUGGAUCAGAAGUGGAGCAGCUGGGUCUCACACGGGUGCCCGUAUGGGAUGCUGGCACUGCAGGUGGCGGCUUCACCCACUCACCACAGCACCUCUGAUUUGUUUUCCUCACUUUCCCUAUUAUCGUGGUUGUUGCCUAAAAGCUAGAAAAGUCGUUGCCUGAGCUCUGCCUGUCCCACUGUGCCUUCUUGGGCAAAGCCUCUUAGCAUGGGCACUUGUUAGUUAGUUCAGGUCAGCUGGUCUCUUCACUGCGCUCCACACAGUUUGCUUAAAGCCGCGUGCUCCUCUGUGUCGUGGGGCACUGGGCUCUGGAUCCCUGCAGACUCCUCCAGGAGUUCACAGAUGCUGGGGUGCGGCUGUCCUUGAGGGGCUCCGCAGCUGCACUGUGGAACAGGACACCGCCAGCACCAGGGAUUUUUGAGAGCGCACAGCCCUGCUGGUGAAACUUUACACGGCGGCUUCAGGAGUGAGGAACGUCAGAGGCUAAGUUUAGAAGGGGCUGGGCUACAUGCGGAAAGGGCUUGUACACCCCACGUCAGGCAGGAUUUCUGUCAGUUUGUGAAAUGGGGCCAAGGGAGAAGAGACCACUGGUGGCCCAGGGGAGCCCGGGCACUUCUCACUGCUGCAGGGCCUCAGGCCUGGAGAAAUGCCACCAGUAGUGAAGACAAGUUCAGCUCCAGGCUGGGACUUGUGCAGGGGAAACAGACCAACAGUUUUGUGCUAGAAGUCAGUGGAGAAGCAGGAUCUGACUUAAACCGCUUGGGAGGGUGUGGUUGUGUGAAGCAGAUUCUGUGAGAUUUUACUUGACCCGACUUAGCCAAAUGGUAGUCGAGGUGUUUUUACCUGUGUCAGUGAAAAGGAAAUCAGUAGACCCUGUGAAUGAACUGUUCAUUCACAUCUCAUGGGGCAGGUGCUGUUAACAGAGGAGCCAGCUCGUCCUAAUAUUAAGAAUUAUCAUCGGGACGUACACAUUUUUCUGUGUUGUUGAGAGUAAAUUGAUGCUUUUCAAAGUAAAUGCCACGUGUCCAGGGUUUGACAGAACAGAGUCACGUUUCCAUCGAUCUCACAGGGCAAGUGGUUUGUCGCACUUUGUGCUGAUCAGACGGUGUGAGAGGCUCAGGGAAAGAGGGUAGAUGGGCUAACUCCUCUGUGCACUGACUGCUGCGCAUUUUAUUUCAAGGCGAGAGUCUUGCCGUGAGCGCCCACUGCUCCUGCCUAAACCUUAGGACAGAGCCAGGCAGUGCCAAGUCGGCUCCCUUCCUCAGAAAGGCAGCGUCUCCUGCCAUGGCUGUCUCCAGAAAGAGGGCGCGAGAGGCAGAGGCUGCGCCUUUGGUUCUGGGCGUUGCGUGGCUGUGUGGCUCAAGGCAGCAGCUGCUUCUCCCGUCUCCUGCACUGCCUGCCUCUGAUGGAGCCACACAAGCACAGCACAGGGUGUGCAUUUCCAGAGAUGCAUUCAGCCUGCGUUUUCAUAAAUCUCUCAUCUGCAGCAGAAAUCUGAUCACACACGAGGCCUUCAGAAAUGUGCACCAGGCAGAGUGGAAACCUCUGGGCCAGGGGUGCUGUGGCACAGUUGGGUAAGCUGCCGCUUGGGACUCCUACCCCAUGUUGUGGUGCUGCUUUCAGUCCCAGCUCCUCUGCCUGCUGGUGGCUGAGAAGGCAGCAGAUGAUGGCCCAAGUUUGGGUCCUUGCCCCCGACACGGGGUCCAGAUGGAGUCUCGGUUCCAGAUUGGCCCAGUCUUGGCUCUUGCAGGCAUUUGGAGCAGUGUGGAACAGCAGAUGAUGGGAAGUCCCUCUAUUGCUCUGUCUUUCCCUCUGUCACUCUGCCUUUCCAAUAAAUUAGAUAUAUAUAAAUAUAUGUAAUGUAAUGUGUGGCACUGUGACACUAUGGCAGUGAAUUGACAACCAUGAUGACUGCUAAUGGGCAGGUAGCACAAACAGCAUGGAUACGCUGGGCAAAGAGACGAUUCAGAAGGUUUCAUUGCAGUGUUUAGGACAACACACAGUUUAAAACUUGUGAAUUAUUUAUUUCUGGAAUUUUCCUUAUAUGGUGUUGGAUCACAGCUGACCAAGGGGAACUGAAACCGUGGACAGCAGCACCCUGGGCAAGGGGCAUGGCUGUGCUUUCAAGUCCACGGAGCUGCACCGUCUGCAGCUGUGAGGUCGCUAAAUUAGCUCAGCUGCCCUUCAUUGAGUGUCUUGCUGGUGUGACCGUCACACCUGGGAACAGAAUGUUUUCUUGUCAAUUUGAAAUUGUUUUUAAAGAUUUAUUUAUUUUAUUUGAAAGGCAGUUAGAGAGAGAGAGAGAGAGAGAGAGAGAAUGAAGUCUUCCACGUGCUAGUUCACUCCCCAGAUGGCUGCAAUGGCCAGAGCUGAGCUGAUCCACUGUUGCUGAUGUUGGGUGAGUCGCUGGCCACCCUGCCCUGAGCCUGCAGAGCGGGUUGUGUUUGUGGCCUCUGUGACUCAGUGGUCAAGGCUGCAGCUGUCGUGGCCACUCUUUGUGUGCCCCAUGUACUCUUGGGGAAAAGGCAGUGGUGAGAAAGGCGUGGAAAGAGGAGAUGGCAGAGGAACCUGUGUCAUGCCGAUUGCUGUUUACAUGUAAUGUAAAAUAGAGAGACAAAGAGAACUCUUCCGUAUGCUGGCUCACUCCCCAAAUGCCUGCAGCAGCCAAGGCUGGGUCAGACUAAAGCCAGGGUCCAGCGACCAUGUACAUGAGCCAUCAACUGCUGCCUCCCAGGUGUGCGUUAGCAAGAAGCUGAAUUGGAAGCAGAGAGAAUUGACUUCUGGAAGAGGUCAUUGUCAUGGUGUCAGAAUGGUUAGGAAAUGCAUUUGCAUCCAGCUCCGUAGGCCAGCCUCAGAACAGCCCUGUAGAGUGGGUUUGUCUCUCAUCCCGGCCAGGAGAUAGGAGUGAGGCUCGUAGGGGCAGCCGUGGUCCCUGUUCUGGAUCGGGAUGUUUUCGUUGGUGGGUGUCCUUGGGGUUAUCCCAGGGUCUUAGGAAUGUGCCCUGGCUUGAAUACCUCCCUAACAUAUUGCAUAUCCCAAAGCCUGCGUGAGGGCUUUGUUCCGUCGUCAGCUGGGCCCUCACACACUGGUGCUCAGUACCUAUUUAUGGAGUGAAUAAAGCAGUCAGCAGGUGAGACAGCGAACACUGAACAAAGCGCUGGUCGGAUGCCACAUUGUUCCAUUCUUCCCGCAGCCAGGGGAAGGUUUGAUUCCUUGUACUUUGCUGGGGACUUUGACUUGUGAGGUCUUGCAGCCAGGAAGAGGCCGGCAGAGUCUCCGGUUCAGACAGUGCGUGCUGGUGCUCCCAGCCCGGGUGCCGUGCUCAUCCUCGUCCAUCCUCGUCCAUCAGGAGCCCUGAUGGUGAUCUGAGCUGUGCUGUUCAGAGCCUGUGUGUAAUCGCAGGGGUGGGGAACUGGUUUUCUGCCAGGGGCCAUUGCAUGUUUAUAACAUCAUUAGCAGGCCAAGAAGAAUUAUCAACUUGAAAAUUAGCCUGCUCUGGAUUUAUUGAAUUUAGAAUCCUGCCCACGGUUGCCUUGGCAGGACCUCACAUGGCCCGGGGGCUGGGUGUUCCACAGCCCUGGGUCAUUCCCGACAGAGACUGCAGCCCAGACCCUCUGUGCACCAUGGCUCAGUUAUUUUUUUCUUUUUUGGAGGAGAUGUUUCCCUAUUUCUUGUGAUUUGUAAAAGAUCACCGAUGAUUCCAUGAGCACAUGACACAGUCUUUUCAAUAUUCAAGGCAAGGAUUUUGUCAGGAGAGAUCAAACUGUUUAAAAUGCCUGGUGGGCGGUCUGUCAUUUCUGUCACUUUGGAUUCAUUUUCCUUCCAGCAGUGACCGUCACUCAGUCUCGUUCCCUCUGGUCCAGCUCUGCAUACAGAGUUAAAGGGAUCUUUCUGAAUGUAAGUGAUGAAUCAUGCCGUGCCGCUGGCUUCCCCUUACACCUAGAUAAACUCAGAAACGGCCAAGGCUGCCCAGGUGGCCAGCACACCCUCCUCGGCCACUGAUGCCCAUUCCUCCUCCUGGGUCUCCGCAGGUGCUCCAGCUCCUGACCCCUCAGUCCCCUGGUGUUUCCUGACCUUGGAGGACAUCCCUGUCCCCCCUGUGUUCGGGGAUCAUUUCUGCUGCAGCUGUGUCACCGUCUUUAACGGCUUUUGUCUUUUUUACCCAUGUCCUCUUCUGGGUGGUCCUUUCCCCCUGGGCACCGUCGAGCCCCUCCUACCUGCCCCAGGCCGUGCGCCUGCAGAGCUGCAGCCUCACAGCUUUCCCCGGUUUGUACAGAGGUUCCUGUUGGAUACUUUUAUCCCUGUGGGGGGCUCGAGGAGUCAGCACCCGUGAGGACUGCUGUGAGCCUAAGAGAGCGUCCGUCCGCCGUGAGCGCCGGUGUUCCUGUCCUGCCUUUCUCGGCCUUCCAAUGGGUGGGCUUCCCAGUGAGGGGAGAACUGGUCAGAGCCUCAGCUCUUGGCGGAUUUCAUCUGGCAGCUCCCCGAUGGCCAGCUGUGUUCUCUGGGCUGCUGCGGUUUUCCCCUUCUACUUGUUUUGUUUUUUGUAAAGCACCUUUGUGUUUUCUAAGAGGUGCGGUGUUGUGAAAUUUGUUUCCGCGUUGCCCACUUGUUGUCCUCUGUCUCCCUGGUGCUCCCUCCUGGCCUCUUCUCCUAGACUUGACUGGCUUUUCUGUGGGUGCGCGCUCGCCCUCUUCCCAGUGGUUCCCGCACCUGUGCCGAGUUCACUGCCGAGUCCUCUCCAGCCAGGGCUCCGGGGUGGGGCUGUGCCAUGCCUUGGUGCUCCCGUGUGUGUUGUGGAGUCUGGGUCUGAGGCCCUGUGUCGUCCCUGACUCUCUUCCCGCUCCCUGCUUCACUGUUUCCUCCUGGAAAUGGCCAGGCAUCUCCACCUGGCACGUGGCGGUGGCAAAAUGCCUGGCAGUUACCUGCGGUGGGAGCCUGAGUUAGUUUUGGGAGGGCUGCCGCUUAGAGGCCACUGUGUUCUUCAGGCCUCGAGCUUGGCCACCUGUUGGGAUUGCAUCCUUUCAUCAGUCAGCAGUAUUCUGACUUAAAAGAGCGCAUUCCAAAACUUAGAAAACUUAGUAAUGGCAUGGGUACUGUGUUCAUUUUUAUUUGCAUUCAGUCUCACAGAAAAACAGAAAUAGCACCCAUUUAUUUUUCUUUCAAAAAGCAGUCACAUAACUAUCUGAAGUAUUUUCCGAUAACGAUGGAGUUGUACUGAACGCAUCUCCAGUUCAGUGGUAAAGUCGCCAAGGAGAUGGAGACCGAACCUGAGAUCCCUGUGUCUAGACGUCUGUUACGGGGUGGGUGGGAGACCACGUGCAGGGAACGUGGACGGUGAAAACGGUAAAUGGAGGCAGCGACCCUGCUGUUGAGCUCCAUGAAGGCUGAGGCCAGGAGGCGACACCUGAGCAGCUUGACAGGGGAGACUGUCUCCCGGGUACUGCCGGCAGAGGUCUGGCGUCGGGGAGCAGCAGGACACGCACGGGGAUGCACAGAAGAGCACUGGGGCCGGCCGUGGUACAGCCCUGCGCUGAGAGCAGCCCCGGGCACCUGCGCGCGCAGGAGCUGCCUCCCCAGGGCCUGGCCUGCAACUCCCCGGGGGGCCUGGAGCUCCCAAGGUGUGGGCCGGUUUGGGAUGAGCGGCUGCUGCUUUAGCAAGUCACCCAGACCCCUGGAGCCUCAGUGUCCACCCUCACACCCUCAGACUUGGGAAUGCAGCUGAGCUGUGGUGAGCGUGAGCGACCAUCCUGGGGUGGAGCAUCUCCCUUGAUGUUGGAAAGGAACGUGCUGUAUCAGAUGUAACAGAGGGCGCUUGUUUCCGGGAGCCGGGAUGGCCGUCACGGGAGGGAGGGAGCCAGGCCACGGGGAGCCCUUAGCAAGCCUUGGGACGCAGCAGGGCCCGGGUACCUCAUGGCCGUGGUGUGAGGACAGCCUCACCAGCUGGCAGGGGACGCUUUAGAGGGAGGCGGCCAGCGAGCCUGGUGAACCUGAGAGGUACUCACUCACGCUCACAGGCGAAGCUCACAGAAUCUGGUGGCAAACUGGAUGUGAAGGUGGCGGGGCAGGCGAGGAUGAUCUUGAUGUUUCUGGAAUAAACUGGUUUUAGGUUUUAUCUUCUUUCACGUAAAGUGACUUUACUAACCUUUCUGUAUUUAAAAUCUUUAUGGUCCAGAAAAGAAAUCUUUUUGAGACCAGAUUCUGAGCUUACACUAACUUGUCUUCUGGUGAGACACACCACAAGUGAUCCACAGGGCUUGGCCUCUGCGUUUCAGCUCAGACAGGUUUAUUUUGUACUACAGAGUGUGUGUUUCCAGCCACGCCUUUUGUAUUCAGAAGUGACUCUCAGAGCAGAUUUUUAUUUUAGAUUAUAAGCUGUGAAAGUGAAGGUUUUAAUAGAAGUGCUCACCCGGCCUGGCCACCGUGACACGCGCAGCGGCCCGUCUGAGCAGAAGGCUCUCAGAGCCAGCAGGCUUCAGUUUCAGGGUAGCAGAGGUUUCUACGAGCAGCUCUGAUAAGACUUAAGGUCUUUAUCUCAUGGGGCCGGCGCGAUGGCUCCGCGGGUUAAAGCCGCAGCCUCAGUGCCAGCGUCCCGCAUGGGCUCCGGUUUCAGUCCUGGCUCCACUUCCAAUCAGGUUCCCUGCUAAUACUCCUGGGAAGGUGGAGGGUAACCCAAGAGCUUGGGCCCCUGCACCCAAAUGGGAGACCCGGAAGAAACUCCUGGCUUCGGCCUGGCCCAGUCCUAGCUAUUGCGGCCUCUUGGGAAGUGAACCAGCAGAAGAAAGACCUACCUACCUCUCUCUCUCUCUCUCUCUAACUCUCUCUAACUCUGCCUCUCAAAUAAAUAAAUAAGUCUUAAAAAAAAAAAGAUCUUUUUCAGUCUCGUGUUCUUAAGUUCUGUGAAGUCAUUUAAAAUUGAUGAGCCCAUUUUUACUUGAUAGCGUUGACACUAGAGCUGCCGCUCCCAGCGUUGAGAACCCUGCGCUCGCUGGCCUUUUCAUUUUUGUGAAUGUGGCUGUGGUUUCUGGAACCAGAGGGUGCUGCCUCCUGUUGGUGGGCAAGUGCGUUCAACUGAGAGACCCGACAGGCACGCUUGCUGGGGUCUGAAUGUGGACGCUUGGUCAGCUGAAUGUGGCCACACAGCGACAGAGGAAGUGUUGGCCAGGUUGCCUUGGGGACCUAACAGGGAAAGUCCAUGUUCCAGAACUGAGAAUCAGCCUUCCAUCCCUCUUCCCCUUUCAUUCACGCAGCCCCCACCACCACCACCACCACCACCCACCCCCAGUCGCACAGAAGUCUCACUGCGUCCGGUGCCUUCUCCCUCAGCAGGUGCUGCGUCCUGCAGAGAGGCAUGGAUAUGGCUCCGGCCUGCAAGGAGCUUGCAGUCUAGUGGACAACCAGAUCCAGCCCCUGAUGUGCAGGAGUAGUAGGGAGCUCACCCAGAGGCAGAGGAAGCAACAGGAAAAUAGGCAGUCAGGAAAGACUUCAGAGGCGGGGCUGAUCGCCAACCCCUGAAGAGGGCCUAGUAGCUUGCCAGUUGGAGGGCAAAGGGUGCAGCGUGGCCACUGAGCACGGCUGGAGUGUGGCGGGCAUGGGGAGUAGAUGAAGUGAGGGUGCAGCACUGGACAGACCCAGAAGGAGGGAACAGAGCCAGGGCCAGGAGCGGCGCGGAGGGCGGUGCCCUUGAGUCCCUGCAGCAGUCCUGUGAUGUGGUUACCGCUCUUCCCUUUGACAGAUGAGGAAACAGAGGUGUAUUUGCUGGCCCAUUGCAGCACUGCAGUUCAUACUGGUUAGUGAUAGGCUAGGACUUACACACAUACCUGACUCUGGGCUGUCAUCUCUCUCCAGGCUGUUACCGUGGGAGUGGGUUAUUCCUGCUGUGAGCAUUUGCCGAGUGACUCCUGCUCGGCCAGUCGGGUUGUACUCCAGUACGGGUUGCUAAAGCAUUUCAAGUAGUGCACGGAGGGCUGGGAUCCUACAGAAAUGGAAGUGCCACGAAGGCAGGGCUUUGCCUGUGUUGUUCAGGACCUGAACCCUCGCCGGUCGGCCGUGGUGAGAGCUCAGAGGACGCUGAGUGAGUAAGCGUGGCUGGUGACAGAGCUGUGGUGUCAGCACUUCUCAGUGCAGUGUGUGGGGAGGCACUUCCUCCCUGCAGAGACGGCUCAAUUUAGACGCACCACAGGGACAGGUGUACGGCUUGAGUGGUAAUGCUCGUGUGCGCACCACAGUGCCUGGACUUGGUUCCUGUCUCCCGCUUCCUGUGAACGUGGACCCUGGCAGGCAGCAGGAGUGGUUCAAGUAAUUGGGUUCCUGCCACCCGUGUGGGAGACCCGGACUGAGCUCCUCACUCCUCACUCUGGCCCUGGGCCCAGCCCUCGCUGCUGUGGACAUGAGCCUUGUCUGUCUUUGACUCUUGAAUUAAAAAAAGAACAGCAGUAAAAGCACCGUUAAAAAGGGUCAAGACAAAUUUGCCAGAAGAAAGAGUCAUUCCAAGCUAACCUCAUUUUUUUUUUGCUUUGGAUUUAAGUUGGGGGAGAGGGAGACGGGGUGGAGCUUAAUGCCUGCAAGACCCUCACCUGUGCUAUCACAGAGGUGUCCCGCCAGCCCUGGCAACCCGAGGCCACCGUAGGGUUGGAGCUACAGGCCAGGCAGGUGGGUCAGUCACGUUUACUUCUGGAUGAUGAAGAGCUCGGAGGAGAGCGUCUGGUAGGCGCAGGCUGUCUUGGUUCCAGGAGCUCCUUGACUGCUGAAGGCCCAGCUUCAGUUUGGAAGGCAGAGGUGACUGGGUGGGUGGGUGACAUGGAGCCUCUUUCUCUCUGAGCAGCUCGUCUUGGGACCGUGGACCAGUCACUCAGGCUCUCGGGCCUCAGCUUCCACAGUUACGACAAAAGGGGAGAGAAACCCACCCUUCAGCCUUGCAGGAGUGUGAGGCCAGGUGGCACUGGAGGGAAAGGUGUUUAUUGAUGGUGCUGACAGAUGUGUGCUUCUGCUUCUGCAGCGGGGCUCCCAUCCCUGCCCGACGAGGGUGCUGAAGUGCUGUGGCGAGGGCUGGGUGGUGGGUGGUGGCUCUGCCCCGGUCAGCGCGCUGUUGCAGAACUGUGUGUGCCAGUUAUUCCUUUUUUUUUUUUUUUUUUUUUUUUUGACAGGCAGAGUGGACAGUGAGAGAGAGAGACAGAGAGAUAAAGGUCUUCCUUUGCCGUUGGUUCACCCUCCAAUGGCCGCCGCAGCUGGCACGCUGCGGCCGGCGCACCGCGCUGAUCCGAUGGCCGGAGCCAGGUACUUAUCCUGGUCUCCCAUGGGGUGCAGGGCCCAAGUACUUGGGUCAUCCUCCACUGCCUUCCCUGGCCACAGCAGAGAGCUGGCCUGGAAGAGGGGCAACCGAGACAGAAUCUGGCGCCCCGACCGGGACUAGAACCCGGUGCGCCGGCGCCGCAAGGCGGAGGAUUAGCCUAGUGAGCCGCGGCAUCGGCCAUCCGGUUAUUCUUAAGUGCUGAAACUUAACUGAAAAGUGAUUGCUGUUAAAUAUAAGAGUGGGAAUAAGAGAGGGAAGGGAUGUGCAAUUCGGGGCAUGCUCAAGCUGACUUCCCUCAAACGGUAGAGUUAGAAACAUACCAGGGGAUUCCAAUUCAAUCCCAUCAAGGCGGCAUGUACCAAUGCCAUCUCACUAGUCCUAGUAAUCAAUUUCUGUUCACAAUUAAUCAUGAUAGGACUAAGAACCAAAGGGAUCACAUAAACAAGAAUAGUGUCUGCAAAUACUAGCUGAUAGAAUAAAAAAGGGAGAGAAUGAUCCAACAUGGGAAGUGAGAUACACAGCAGACCCAUAGAAUGGCAGAUGUCCUAAACAGCACUCUGGCCUCAGAAUCAGCCCUAAAGGCAUGCAGAGCCAGCUGAAAAGCCCAUGAGAGUAUUUCAGGCAUGGAAAGCCAAGACACUCUGGGGGGAAAAAAUGACCUAAAUGAAAGAUCUCUGUGAGAUCCCAGUGGAAAGAACAGGUCAUCAAAGAAGGAGGUACCUUUCUCUGAAGGGAGGAGAGAACUUCCACUCUGACUACGACCUUGUCUAAAUAUGAUCAGAGUCGGUGAACUCAAAAGGCUUUCAUAGCCUUGGCAACUCAUGACUGGAGCAUAGGGAGAUUGCUGAUGCCAUAAACAAGAGUGUCAAUUUGUAAAGUCAACAACAGGAGUCACUGUGCACUUACUCCACAUGUAGGAUCUCUGUCCUUAAUGUGCUGUACAUUGCGAUUUAAGGCUAUAACUAGUACUCAAACAGUAUUUUUCACUUUGUGUUUCUAUGUGGGUGCAAACUGUUGAAAUCUUUACUUAAUAUAUACUAAAUGGAUCUUCUGUAUAUAAAGAGAAUUGAAAAUGAAUCUUGAUGUGAAUGGAAGGGGAGAGGGAGUGGGAAAGGGGAGGGUUGCGGGAGGGAGGGAAGUUAUGGGGGGGAAGCCAUUGUAAUACAUAAGCUGUAUUUUGGAAAUUUAUAUUCACUAAAUAAAAGUUAAAAAAAAAAAAAGAAAAAAAGAAAGAACGGUGUGUGCCAGGCACC